AGCAGACACAGUAUGUACCGGUCUAAGCAUUGUCGUAUCCCUCCGACAAUCCAAUGACCAGGAACCUUUUGGACAUAAUGGUUAUGUGAAGAAGGUCUCUGUAGUCUAACAUCAUUAGAUUACUUCUUCAAUCAAUCCAUUGUCCAUGGAUUCACUAUUUAGGACAUAUAUCGUUUAUUGAGAUAGUCCUAAUUAGUAUCUUUGUCAUUUGAUGUAUAAGAGUCAUCUAUACAUCGAUUCAUUUGUCCUGAAAGGUUUCUUCCAAAGAUUGACUUUCAGGUCAUAUUUCCAACACCAAGUUAGGUGCCAGUCCUGUCGGGUAGAUUGAAUUAGGCAAUCUGACUUGUAUGUGACCGUGCUUCUGCACCAGCCCUCACGUGGUCAUAGUACUAGAGCAUAUUGAUUACACCCAGUCUUGUUCGUGUCAGAAAUUAUCUGUUCGAACUUGUGUGUGUCAGCUUAGAUGGAUGAGCACUUACCUAUACUUGAUUAUCACAUGAUUAUAUUAUUGUGGCAUUUGAUACAUCAUAACUUGGCAUAUAUUUGGUUAUAAUUCUAUUAUAGUAUUGUUGAUUUAUUGUUUACAUACCUAUGUAGUAUGUUUUCUUAUAAGCAUUGUUUUGUUGAUCCACUCAACUUUGUUUUUCGCCCCUCUAGGACCUAGAUAGCUGUAUUCUUUAUGGCACUUGAGGAAUCUCAGCAGUUUUGACAUUUCCUUCUGUUUAGGCAUACGAAUUUAUCACUGUUAUGUAAUAAGUGUACUUUAGUUAUUUUGACUACUCUUCUGUAGUCUCACUGUUUAUUACGCUUUGAAUAAUUGUAGUGGGUUCACCCCACAAUUGCGCACUCUUUCACUGUUUAGUUCUAAUUAGUUUUAAUUUUGUUCACUUUUUGUAUCACUUACCCUUAUGGUUACGUCACCUCACGGUGAUGGCCAACAUGUUUCAACCUUUCCAGGUCGAGGUGUGUCAAUAACAAUUGAUUUUGAAUGGCAUAAAAUUCUUAUCAACAGUCAAUUCAUCGAAUAUCUCAAGUUCAAGGUAAACACAAAUCAAUCAUUUGUUCAAUUCUUUUUAUUCAUUUAUAAUAGUUGGUUUCAUGGUUUAUUCAAUCCUGGUUAUCCUCCACAUCAAAUCCAUAAUUCACACAAUUGUCAUCACUAUUGUCCUCAUUCUCAUCGUCGUUAGCUCCGCAUCAUUUGGAACCAACUAUUAUAUUAAAACAUCACCUAUAUAUAUAUAUAGGAAUCCUUUAACAAGAGGGAUCCCCAUUUUUUUAGAAAAAUGGGGACACCCUCUUGACCAUUGGAUUUGACUUUAAUGAAAUUGUGUGCCCUGUGAUUUAAUCUCAACCACACAAUUUCAUUAAAGUCAAUCCAACGGUAAAGAGGGUGUCUCCAUUUAAAAAAAAAAAAGAAAAACAGGGAUCCCUCUUGUUAAAAGG
rnacentral:lncRNA from 1 species